AACGAACGCUGGCGGCAGGCUUAACACAUGCAAGUCGAGCGCCCCGCAAGGGGAGCGGCAGACGGGUGAGUAACGCGUGGGAACCUACCCUUUUCUACGGAAUAACGCAUGGAAACGUGUGCUAAUACCGUAUACGCCCUGAGGGGGAAAGAUUUAUCGGAGAAGGAUGGGCCCGCGUUGGAUUAGCUAGUUGGUGGGGUAAAGGCCUACCAAGGCGACGAUCCAUAGCUGGUCUGAGAGGAUGAUCAGCCACAUUGGGACUGAGACACGGCCCAAACUCCUACGGGAGGCAGCAGUGGGGAAUAUUGGACAAUGGGCGCAAGCCUGAUCCAGCCAUGCCGCGUGAGUGAUGAAGGCCCUAGGGUUGUAAAGCUCUUUCACCGGAGAAGAUAAUGACGGUAUCCGGAGAAGAAGCCCCGGCUAACUUCGUGCCAGCCGCCGCCGUAA
rnacentral:rRNA from 1 species